UACGGAGGGAGCAAGCGUUACUCGGAAUUAUUGGGCGUAAAGGGCGCGUAGGCGCUUGGGCAAGUCUCUUGUGAAAGCCCAGGGCUUAACUCUGGAAGUGCAGGAGAUACUGCUUAAUUUGAGUUCAGGAGAGGAAGGCAGAAUUCCCGGUGUAGCGGUGAAAUGCGUAGAUAUCGGGAGGAAUACCAGUGGCGAAGGCGGCCUUCUGGACUGACACUGACGCUGAGGCGCGAAAGCUAGGGGAGCAAACGGG
rnacentral:rRNA from 1 species